rnacentral:rRNA from 1 species
AACGUAGGACGCAAGCGUUAUCCGGAGUUACUGGGCGUAAAGCGCGGGCAGGCGGUCGGUCAAGUCUGAUGUGAAAUCUCUCCGCUCAACGGGGAGCAGCCAUUGGAAACUGGGCGACUGGAGUCUGACAGAGGUAGGCGGAAUUCCGGGUGGAGUGGUGAAAUGCGUAGAGAUCCGGAGGAACACCAGAGGCGAAGGCGGCCUACUGGGCCGUAACUGACACUGAGGGACGAAAGCUAGGGGAGCGAAAGGG